rnacentral:rRNA from 1 species
CUUUCCCUCUUUCUUCCGGCCUAACACAUGCAAGUCGAGCGGAUGAAGGGAGCUUGCUCCUGGAUUCAGCGGCGGACGGGUGAGUAAUGCCUAGGAAUCUGCCUGGUAGUGGGGGAUAACGUCCGGAAACGGGCGCUAAUACCGCAUACGUCCUGAGGGAGAAAGUGGGGGAUCUUCGGACCUCACGCUAUCAGAUGAGCCUAGGUCGGAUUAGCUAGUUGGUGGGGUAAAGGCCUACCAAGGCGACGAUCCGUAACUGGUCUGAGAGGAUGAUCAGUCACACUGGAACUGAGACACGGUCCAGACUCCUACGGGAGGCAGCAGUGGGGAAUAUUGGACAAUGGGCGAAAGCCUGAUCCAGCCAUGCCGCGUGUGUGAAGAAGGUCUUCGGAUUGUAAAGCACUUUAAGUUGGGAGGAAGGGCAGUAAGUUAAUACCUUGCUGUUUUGACGUUACCAACAGAAUAAGCACCGGCUAACUUCGUG